rnacentral:lncRNA from 1 species
UUGAAUUACAAUGAAAAAAAGACAAUGAAAUACAUGAAAAUACAGCAUGAUAUGUUGAAAAUACAUUAAAAUAUAUUACAGAAAAUCAAGUUGCUCAGCCCCAAGCACUGUGAUCUUUAUUUAAGAACAAACCCUAAUUUUCGAUGAAUCCAUGGUCGAAUAAAAAUCCUAAACUCUUUUGCCCUUUUUAUGCUGCGCGCGGGAGAUUACAACGACAUCAAACGGACGGCACUCCAUUAUUAAAUUCUGGAUAUUACGUCUAAUAUGGUUAGUAGAUUCAGGAAGGGAGGGAAUUGAUUAAAAAAACUUUUUCCCCCUUUUUUUUUUCUUGUGGUUUAGAUGGAUUUUUAUGGGUGCAAUAAAGAGAAGUUUUGAGCUUCCCAUAAAAUCCAAAACUAGGGCAAAAAAGAAAUGAACAACGGCUGCCACAUGCACGGAAUGGCUAUGGCGCAGCUACUAUCAGUCGCCAUGAACAACACCACAAGAGGAGGAGGCAUGAUGAUGAAGAACCAUCGACAUAUGAUGAUGCACAUGAUAUUUUUCUUGGGAAAGAAGGUGGUGCGGCCGACAGAAGU